rnacentral:rRNA from 1 species
AUUGAACGCUGGCGGAAUGCUUUACACAUGCAAGUCGAACGGCAGCACGGACUUCGGUCUGGUGGCGAGUGGCGAACGGGUGAGUAAUAUAUCGGAACGUAUCCAAUAAUGGGGGAUAACUAAUCGAAAGGCUGGCUAAUACCGCAUACGUCCUACGGGAGAAAGCUAGGGACCUUCGGGCCUGGCGUUAAUGGAGCGGCCGAUAUCGGAUUAGCUAGUUGGUGAGGUAAAGGCUCACCAAGGCGACGAUCCGUAGCUGGUCUGAGAAGACGACCAGCCACACUGGAACUGAGACACGGUCCAGACUCCUACGGGAGGCAGCAGUGGGGAAUUUUGGACAAUGGGCGAAAGCCUGAUCCAGCCAUUCCGCGUGAGUGAAGAAGGCCUUCGGGUUGUAAAGCUCUUUCGCAAGAGAAGAAAACUUACCCUCUAACAUAGGGUGAGGUUGACGGUAUCUUGAUAAGAAGCACCGGCUAACUACGUGCCAGCAGCCGCGGUAA